rnacentral:lncRNA from 1 species
CAGGCUGACACAUAAAAAGGACCAUUGCAGCUCUUACUAAUAAAGCAUACCUCCUCUUUUGUAGGUCUCCCCAACAGGAGGACAGAGGUGUCCCUAAGGAGGAGAGGUCUAGCUUUCCAAGUAUUUUUUCUACUUUUUUUUUCUUUUGUAUUUUUUCUACUUCUAUCACCAAAUUGAGAUUUUCCUCAAAAGGAAAUGCAGCAGUCAGAAAAAUUCUUUGAAUUUAAGAUAUUUUUCAGGGGAACUUGGAAAUGAUCUAAACUAAAAGAUUUUUUAAACUAAAAGCACAGCUUAAAAUAUUUCAGACUGUAAUUCUAAUCAUAUUUGCAGGUUGAAAUAGCUGGCACCUAUUUCCUUCUGCUUAAAAUACUCCAGAAUCUCUGGCACAAAAGACAAGCUGUGGGAAAAAAUAAAAUGUUCAUAUUUUCAUGCAUAGAGAUGUCAAUUUCCUUAUCUGCAAAUUAAGAGAAUUGGACUAAAUUAUCUGAAAAUUUCGUGUCCAGUCCAUAACCGUAAUGAGUCCACAACCAUAAUGAGUUUAGUAGCCAUCUGUCCCAAGGGUGGGAGAGAGCACGUCUGUAAACUGGAGGAUAUGCUAAAUACUAACAUAUGGCCAUGACUCAGGACACCAAAGUAUGGGUUUUGCCCUUUCAUUGUCAUCACUCCCCGGCCCCACUUCCUCCAUUUCAUCAUAACCACCAAAAACAAAGAAACUAGGUUAUUGAUAGCCAGGCUCAAUGGAGGCUUUGCCAAGUGUUGGGUAAAAUUGAUUUAAGCUAACCAGAUCUGAUUUGUGACCUUUGCCACCAUGAUAUAUUAAAAGAGUCUGGGGCAGUGAGACUGGCUCUUUUUGAAGAAGUGAGUUUGUUGAGCCUUCCAAUGUUAUUGAAGAAGCAGGCAUUGGACCUUCCCAACCUUGAGUUAGAGGCACCAAAAGGAUUGCCCAGUGAGUUUUGAAGGACUCAUUCUGGAAGAUAGGGCUGGUGUGCCUUUCUCAUCUGGAGAUCGCUGGAGGGCUGGUGAUGUACAGAGAGGCACUAUGUCAUCCACUAAAGGUGGGAAACAGGGAAAGCAUCUGGGGACCGUCCAAGUCCCCACUGAGUGGUGUGGCAAAGCUACAUGAGCUUUCCAUGGGCUCAGCAUGGACUCGGAAAGUUGGUGGGCACAGAGGCUGGCUUGCUGCCCAAACCUAUAUGGCCUCAUGAGGGGUCAGUGUCAUGGGAGACUAGAGAUGAGUUCCUGCACUGAAGGAAAGAGUACACUCCUGUAGGAGUGUCUAUGCCCAAAGACAUGCAAAAAAACCCCAAGUGCACCAUCCCUUAGAGCUCACAGUAGAUGAGGGUGUAGCUGAAAAUGCAGCCUCUAUACACUGGCACCAGUUAAGUCUCAGAGACAGAGUUUUGAGGAAGAGAAAGAACAGCUUUAUUGCUUUGCCAAGCAAAGGAGGACACAGCAGGCUAAUGCCUCAAAACUAUGUCCUGUCCAGAAAGGGGAUAGCAAGGCGUUUUAUAGGUUUAGCUCGGAAGACAGGAUUAUUGAUGAAGGUGUCUAUAUUAUUCUUUUUUUUUUUUUUUUUUUUUUUUUUUUUUGGUCUUUUUAGCUAUUUCUUGGGCUGCUCCUGCGGCAUAUGGAGGUUCCCAGGCUAGGGGUCAAAUCGGAGCUGUAGCCACCGGCCUACGCCAGAGCCACAGCAACGUGGGAUCCGAGCCGCGUCUGCAACCUACACCACAGCUCACAGCAAUGCCGGAUCCUUAACCCACUGAGCAAGGGCAGGAACUGAACCCGCAACCUCAUGGUUCCUAGUUGGAUUUGUUAACCACUGCGCCCCAAUGGGAACUCCUAUAUUAUUCUCCAUCUGUAGAUUAUUUCAGAGUCAUCAAGGCCAGGGUCAGUGGGUCUGGUGAUGGUUUCUGGUUGUCUUCAGGGUUAUCGUUCCCUGACCUUCUCUCUGGCAUGAAGAUCGCUUAUAGGGAACGGGUGUUAGGGAGUGUUUCAAUUACAAAAGAAAACACUAGGUGCCAUGUAACUCUACCCAGAAAGUAACCAUUAGCAAUAAGUGAGUGGGCCAAGGCAGGACAUAACAUCAUGGAGACUGUGUUAACUAGUUUUUAGCUAUAACAGUAUUUCCUAAUCAUUAACUCUUGAGUCAGCUUUUUGAGAUGGAGGGGAGGCCUGGGAGGCUAAGGGAAAGGUCUUUUACUUCAAAACACAAAGAUUUAGAGUCUAGUACACAGUUUCGGGGACACAAGCAACUGAACCCUGCUAAAGAGUGACCACACCCAGAUGCAGACCCAUCGCCACAUUUGGCCAAGUGCCCUGAGGUCUCAUCCUUCCCUCUCUGAGCUUGAGGCUGCUGGAAUGGUCAGGAUGAGAGCCCCUGGGAGCUUAAGAAUCAAAUAUAAUGACGGGGUGAGAAGUUUGGAGAGAGUAUCCAACAAGAUGAAAACUGAAAAUAAUAGUAGUAGUAAUUAUCCUUGGAUUUGACUGAAUACAAACUGGAGAGAAAUGAUGUUUCCAUUAAAAGAGGCUAAAAAAAAAAAGUACAGUGUUGGUCUAAGUUUCUAAAUUGUCUUGAAUUUAGUUUUCUUGUUUGCUGGAAGAUAUGCUGUAUUCAAAGGAAUAUACAUAAAGAUAUAAAAAGAGAAUGCAAUUUAUAUUUGCACGUUACUGCUUUGUGACUUUCCCAUUCAUCCAUGCCACAUAGGAAAAUCUGGAAUGAAUAUGGGUUUAAAUCUAGCAUUAUCUUUCAAAGGCAAUUAUUUAGACAUGGCAAGUGUUUGCCAUGUCUGUUCAUGCCAUGUUUUUUUUUUUUUUCCUAUGGGUUGAUUUAGUCCUGCCUGAAUUCAGAAUUAUGCUCUACUGAUAUUGAAAUCUUUCCAAUCGAGAGAAAAGCUGAGAUGGUUGGAGCGGGGUUAGGAAAAAGGGAAGGGGAUGGAGUGAUCAUUAGUAAUUCCAUCUUAAGACUCCUAGAUUCUGCUUUUUAGAGGGACGAUUUGACCAAGGCUGUAUUGGGCAUGUUAUUUUUUCAGGAGAGAUAAUAUCAUAUGUACAGGGCCAGCACACAGGUGGUAGCAGGAAAUGGUAAUUACCUCUGCUCUUUGCAGAUGCAUAAUCUUUCACUGCAUUUUCAGGACUAAGAGGCUCUAACCUUCAAGUGGCUCAGUAGACGUCGUGCCUGAGUUUCUGACAGAAGUUGGCCAGCAAGGGUGCCUGGGAGACCUUCCAAAGUGUGCGGGCCAUUGCUCUAGGCAUCUGGGUGGAUGCUUCAUGUGUCUGACCCAUUGUCUGUGUUUGGGAGGGUCUAGUGGUGCUGCCUGCAUUUUCCCCCUAGGAAAUUCCUAGUGUGUGCUUAUGGAGCAGUUUGCUUCCAGCAUUUUCACACUACAAGGCAUCUUCUUCUUCAUUGGUUUUUGGCUCCUUGUUUCAGAACUUCUGCACCAAGUACCCAGUAACCAUUGGCUCCUUACUGGUUUUACAUGCUUCUUAUGACUUGGAGCAGGUCCUUUGAUUUUCCUCUCUUUACAGUUGGCCAAAGAGGUCAGGGGAUUUUUGAAUCUAAAUUAGCUUAGCUCUCAGGGCUGUGUAUUCUGAGCCUUUUUAGCAGUGGAAAUAGACUAGACAUGAAAGGUAAGGAGUACCUGUCGUGGCUCAGUGGUUAACAAACCUGACUAGCAUCCAUGAGGUUUCGGGUUCAAUCCCUGGCCUCACGCAGUGGGUUAAGGAUCCGGCAUUGCCCUGAGCUGUGGUGUAGGUCACAGACAUGGCUCGGAUCCUGUAUUGCUGUGGCUGUGGUAUAGGCCAGCAGAUUCAACCCCCAGCCUGGGAACAUCCAUAUGCUGCGGGAGCAGCCCUAAAAAGACAAAACGACAAAAGUAAAUAAAUAAGUAAAAGAUAAGUCACCCUUCAUAUAAAAACUAUACCAACAACUAUCAUUUACUGAACACAUGUGUUUAGUACCAAUGGCCCCAACAGUCCUCUGGGAUGAGGUCAUUUUUCCCCAUUUUACCCCAAAGCUUCAAGGGGAUGAAGUAACUUGCUCAAGGCCACAUGGGUAAAUGGGUUUGAACCCAGUUUCAUCUGACUUCAGAGCCCACAUUCUUGCCUAUCUCCCAGACUGCCUCAGGUCUUGGCCAAAGAAAUAACAUACAUCGACAGAAAGGAGAAUUUCUCUGAACCUAAGCAAUCUACCUCUCUUAUCAAAACAAACAAACAAACAAAAUGGGAUGAUAUGACUCAGUUGGGGAGGACAGAGAUGGGUCUUUGGGAGGAGUAAGAGUUAACUCGGUGAAAAAAUGGCUCAAAAGACCACUCGAGGAAGAGGAAACUGCUUGUGCAAAGGCCCUGGGGUGGGGUGUGGACACAUGAUACAUGAAGGACUGGAAGGAGACCACUAUGAUUGGAGUGAAAGCACAAGAAAGAGCAUCUAGAGAGCACCACUGGCUUAUGAAUGCAGAAUUUUCAAGUUACUGCUAAGGUAAGAAUUCAGCAUCCCCGUUGUGGUCAGUGGGUAAUGAAUCCGACUAGGAACCAUGAGGUUGCUGGUUCAAUCCCUGGCCUCGCUCAGUGGGUUAAGGAUCCAGUGUUGCCGUGAGCUGUGGUGUAGGUUGCAGAUGUGGCUCAGAUCUGGCGUUGCUGUGGCUCUGGCAUAGGCUGGUGACUACAGCUCCAAUUGGGCCCCUAGCCUAGGAACCUCCAUAUGCCAUGGAUGUGGCCCUAAAAGGACAAAAAAAAAAAAAAAAAAAAAAAAAAAAAAACCCACAUGAUAAUAACCAGGGAACCAUCAUUGAGUGCUUACUUUCUGUGAUACGGUUUAUGUUGAUAUUCCUGUUUGACUCUCAUAAUAUUAUGAUACUGUUAGCCCUAAUAAUAGCGUUGUUCACUGCACUUUUAAAAUGGGGAAACUGAAAUAUAGCUAGGUUAAUUAACUUGCAUCAAAUCAUGCAACUAACAUGGGUAGAGCCAAGAUGGAAACUGAGUUUCCUUGGUUCCUCGGCCCAAGCUUUUGUCACUAUGUUAUAUGUAGUAUUCUCCCAUCUAGACCAUGGUUUUCCUUUCACAGUUUAGGGAGGACCUAAAGAAGCUAAAAUUUUCUUAGAGUAGGAGAUAUCCAAAGUGAGCAAGGUGACCUGUGAGGUGUGCAGUGAAAAGAUCUGAAAUUCUAUGUAUUUCUCAGCACUUUCUUUUUGUCUGUUUGUAGUGUAUAUGAUGUAUUGGUCAGUAGGACAUAGACACGGUCUGUAAAGAGCUAAUAGACAUGUAUGAUGAAUACAUGUUCACCAUUUUAUUUUUAUUUUUUUUACUGAUAAGGAUGAGUAAUGACAAUGUUUAGAAAACAAGCAGUGGUCUAGAGAAGAACUUGACAGCUGACCAAAAAGGGUAGAUUGUUGAAGGAAAGAAGACAAAAGAGUGACAUGUCAUGGCAGAGAGGCAGGAGAGGGGUUCUGUGUUGCACUAAGGGGUAAAGGUGGAAUCACAAGGUAAAGCCAAGAGGAGACAGAUUUCAGCUCAGCAUAAGGCACGACUUUCUAGCCAUUGGAGG